rnacentral:rRNA from 1 species
CGAGCGCUUCACUUCAGUGAGGAGCGGCGGACGGGUUAGUAACGCGUGGGAACAUACCCUUUUCUAAGGAAUAGCCACUGGAAACGGUGAGUAAUACCUUAUACGCCCUUCGGGGGAAAGAUUUAUCGGUGAAGGAUUGGCCCGCGUUAGAUUAGUUAGUUGGUGGGGUAAUGGCCUACCAAGACUACGAUCUAUAGCUGGUUUGAGAGGAUGAUCAGCAACACUGGGACUGAGACACGGCCCAG